CCACCCUACUAACCUGUCACACACUGGAGGCCUAUAGGUUCACCACCCUACUAACCUGUCACACACGGAGGACCUAUAGGUUCACCACUGUACUAACCUGUCACACACUGGAGGCCUAUAGGUUCACCACUGUACUAACCUGUCACACACGGAGGACCUAUAGGUUCACCACCACUAACCUGUCACACACUGGAGGCCUAUAGGUUCACCACCCUACUAACCUGUCACACACUGGAGGCCUAUAGGUUCACCACCCUACUAACCUGUCACACACUGGAGGCCUAUAGGUUCACCACCCUACUAACCUGUCACACACUGGAGGCCUAUAGGUUCACCACCCUACUAACCUGUCACACACUGGAGGCCUAUAGGUUCACCACCCUACUAACCUGUCACACACUGGAGGCCUAUAGGUUCACCACCCUACUAACCUGUCACACACUGGAGGCCUAUAGGUACACCACCCUACUAAUCUGUCACACACUGGAGGCCUAUAGGUUCACCACCCUACUAACCUGUCACACACUGGAGGCCUAUAGGUUCACCACCCUACUAACCUGUCACACACUGGAGGCCUAUAGGUACACCACCCUACUAACCUGUCACACACUGGAGGCCUAUAGGUUCACCACCCUACUAACCUGUCACACACGGAGGACCUAUAGGUUCACCACCCUACUAACCUGUCACACACGGAGGACCUAUAGGUACACCACCCUACUAACCUGUCACACACGGAGGACCUAUAGGUUCACCACCCUACUAACCUGUCACACACUGGAGGCCUAUAGGUACACCACCACUAACCUGUCACACACGGAGGACCUAUAGGUUCACCACUGUACUAACCUGUCACACACGGAGGACCUAUAGGUUCACCACUGUACUAACCUGUCACACACUGGAGGCCUAUAGGUACACCAC